rnacentral:rRNA from 1 species
UACGAAGGGGGGCUAGCGUUGCUCGGAAUUACUGGGCGUAAAGCGCACGUAGGCGGCUUUCUAAGUCGGGGGUGAAAUCCUGGAGCUCAACUCCAGAACUGCCUUCGAUACUGGAGAGCUUGAGUCCGGGAGAGGUGAGUGGAACUGCGAGUGUAGAGGUGAAAUUCGUAGAUAUUCGCAAGAACACCAGUGGCGAAGGCGGCCUCACUG